rnacentral:rRNA from 1 species
UACGUAGGGUGCGAGCGUUGUCCGGAAUUAUUGGGCGUAAAGAGCUUGUAGGCGGUUUGUCGCGUCUGCUGUGAAAAUCCGGGGCUCAACCCCGGACUUGCAGUGGGUACGGGCAGACUAGAGUGUGGUAGGGGAGACUGGAAUUCCUGGUGUAGCGGUGAAAUGCGCAGAUAUCAGGAGGAACACCGAUGGCGAAGGCAACUUCCUGGGGCAAUACUGACACUGAUGUGCGAAAGCGUGGGGAGCAAACAGG